UCCUCUGGCUCACCUUAGAUUAGCUGCCUUUCUCCAUCAACUCAGACCAACAGUCUUUAGCUUCUAGAGAAAAGAGCAUUUAUGGGGAGAGAAGAAUCACUUAUUCUGUGAGAUAUGGGGAAAAAGACCUGACCUUGCAAGUUACCUAUGGCAGCAGAUUCCUGGCCUCAUGUGGAGACACAACAUCAGCAGAAGUCUAUCCAGUUGAUUUACUGCAGAAAGGCUCAUCAUCAUCAUAAAAUCUUCAAGCCAAGAUUUGUGCUUUUUACUUUCUUUAAUAAAGAACCAAGCAUAAAUUGUUCAGAAUAAAUAAUAACAUCAAUAACUGCAGAAGACUUUCAUGAACAAAUCCUGCCUUUCUAUUUUUAAAAGUGUCAUAGCUGGCACAAUGUUAUAGGUAGUAAAGUUUCCAUUGAACAUGCUAAUCUGAGCAGACCAUGUUCAGAAGGAAUAGAUUGUCUUUAAAUAUUGUUCUCCACUUUGUCUAGUAUUGUCUUUACCAUACAUUAAGCAAGCAUUCUCUUUUCCUCCUUAUCUCUUUAAUAUCACACAGAUUGCUGAAAUAAAUCCCAAAUGUUCUUUA